UUCGAAAGUCUAAGAGUGGUGGUUCUUUAACCCCCGAAAGGGUCUAUCCUUUAUUACCGAUCUUCCAUCGUCCAUUCAUGGAUGGAAGAACCAGUUCUUCUUUGCUUCUUCUUCCUUUUCUUAAGAUUUAUCUUCUCGUUGGAGUGAUCCACGAACCGGUCCCAACAACAACAGCCGAGUAGAGGUCGACGAUCAGGAGGACUUUCAACAGCUAAAAGACAUGAUGGUCCCGAAACAGAAAGAGCUUGUAACCGAACAGGCCCUUUAUGACGCCGACCUUAGUUCG
rnacentral:lncRNA from 1 species